rnacentral:rRNA from 1 species
ACGCUGGCGGCAGGCUUAACACAUGCAAGUCGAACGAAGUCUUCGGACUUAGUGGCGGACGGGUGAGUAACGCGUGGGAACGUGCCCCUUGGUACGGAAUAGUCCCGGGAAACUGGGUUUAAUACCGUAUAUUCUCUACGGAGGAAAGAUUUAUCGCCAAGGGAUCGGCCCGCGUUGGAUUAGGUAGUUGGUGGGGUAAUGGCCUACCAAGCCGACGAUCCAUAGCUGGUUUGAGAGGAUGAUCAGCCACACUGGGACUGAGACACGGCCCAGACUCCUACGGGAGGCAGCAGUCGAGAAUAAUUCACAAUGGGGGCAACCCUGAUGGUGCAACGCCGCGUGGAGGAUGAAGGUCUUCGGAUUGUAAACUCCUGUCAUCUGGGAGCAAAACCUGGCGGUAAAUAGCCGACAGGGUUGAUAGUACCAGAAGAGGAAGGGACGGCUAACUUCGUGCCAGCAGCCGCGGUAAUACGAAGGUCCCGAGCGUUGUUCGGAAUCACUGGGCGUAAAGGGAGCGUAGGCGGCGCGGUAAGUCAGAUGUGAAAUCCCGAGGCUCAACCUCGGAACUGCAUCCGAUACUGCCGUGCUAGAGUAAUGGAGGGGUAGCUGGAAUUCUCGGUGUAGCAGUGAAAUGCGUGGGAUAUCGAGAGGAACACUCGUGGCGAAAGCGAGCUACUGGNACAUUUACUGACGCUGAGGCUCGAAGGCUAGGGUAGCGAAAGGGAUUAGAUACCCCUGUAGUCCUAGCAGUAAACGGUGUGCGCUUGGUGUGAGGGGAUCGAACCCCCCUUGUGCCGGANCUNACGCGUUNAGCGCACGC